UUGGGUGUGGCAGGACAGGAAACAGCUGAUGGGUUUUCAAACAAGAGGGCUACCAUUUCCUUGUCUGCCCUGCUUAGCUGAGAUGUCGUUCUUCUCCAUCAUCCUGACUUUUGGUCAAAGCCUAACAUCAGUGCUGCUUGUACCGCCCCUGACCCUGCUCCUCCACACCCCUCAGGGGCCCAGGACCCCGACCAGACAAUCAAGAGAGAAAACUGUGAAGCUAAACAUCUCCUGUAGGCUUCGCACACGACCCUUGGGUUAGAGAACAAGAGGGCAAGGUCAGCCUUCAGGAGCUCACGGUCAGCUACAACUGUACGAGCUUCUCAUGGUUUAUGAGCAAUUUCCCACACUGAUUUUGUUAGACACUCACCUCCAUCUGUGAGGCACGUUUCAUGGUUCCCAUUUUGCAGGUAAGGAGAUUGAGGCUCAGAAAGUUACAAAGUGGCUCCCAAGUCUCCUGCUCUGUGAUGUUUCUUUUGUAGUUCAAGGUGUUUAAGUGAUACCAGAAAGUAACGGACAAGACAUUGAUUAAGGGAGCUGCUGUCUUUGUGAAGUGUCCUUGAAUUAAGAUAAGACUCAGUUGGGCCACAGAAUCUUAACUGGCCCCCCUAGGGUCUCACCAGGCUCAGAGAGACUGGAGAGAACACCGGCCAGCUGAGCAUACAACCUGGGAGUCCUAGACCCUGAGAGCUGAGAACACUGCCCUCCCCUCAACCCCUAAUAACCAGGCAGAGGCGGGGGAAUGGGUGUCGUGGAGGUGGGGACAGAGUUAUUGAGGAGCAAGGGUGAGGAGGAACAGCCUGGGAGCUGAGGCUUGGCCAUGACCCCUAGUUGUCAGUACACAGAUGCACUUUCCUGAUUCCAGCCUGCCUUGGGAAAGCCUCAGCCUUCUCUGAGUCUCUGCUCCCCAGCUCUCUCCAAACUAAGGACCCUCCAGUUUUCAACUAAGUGAUACCCACUCUGCUGCCCCCAGGUGACCUUCACUUACUCUUCCUCCCGGCAGUGUCCCCUCCUCUUCAGCCCCAGCUGCCCUAGCUGCUUCCUUACUCUUGGAAUCUGCGGUCUCAGGCCUGCUCUGCCCUCUGACUCAGGCAGCUCUGACCUUUGGGAUCUGAGCUGGUGGCCUGGGUGGUUUUGCACCAUGAACUUGCACUGACCUUUAGCAUGUCCCCCUGUCCCAUCCCUCCUCCCUGCACACACUUGUCCCCAGUCCUUGGGCAGCCCAGGAAAUGUGAAGGACCAGGUUUUUCAGAGAAGGUAGCAGCACUGAGGGGUUUCUCAUCCGAUAUCAGAGGGCCUAGAGAAGGCAAAUGGGGACAGCCCUUCCACCCCUCCAGCCCCUCUCCUGGUAACAGACCAUUCUGGGGAUGCUGGAGAUGCUCCCCUCAUCCCAUCUCCCAGGCUACACGUGCUCAGGCCUGUUUUACUGAGGGAGAUUUGCCAAAAAGGUUCAGAGAUACCCACUGAGGAGGCCACUUAGCAAACCUCCCAGCAUCCUCAUUCCUGGCUCACUCCAGGGAUGGGGAAAUCACCCCUUCCUCAGACAGGCGUGGUGCCCCUCAACAGGGGUGGAGAUACUUUUGUCUGCAAUUUGCCUUCACUGGCUGCACCAAGAUGAGGGAGACAGACUAAGGAGUCCUCUCCAGCCCCUAAUGCAACUGUACUGGCCAAAAGUGCCAAAUAUUUUAAUGCAAACUCUUCUAAGCCUUAAGACACAGCACCAUGAUAUAAUACCAGUUUUACUAAAAUAAGGAAACUGAAGUUCAGCGAGGUCAAGUGGCAGGCACCAGAUCACAUAGCUAGAAAGUGGCAGUGAAUGAAUGAUCUAACGGAGUGACUGGAGACGUCUGAUGGUUCGGUGGGUUCAGACAGUGCACAGAGCCCGCGGCCUGGUCCCAGGAGAGCUGGACGACGCAGGCCCUCCGCACUCCCGGGCCCAGGGGAGCGCAGGCUCCCAGAGGCGCC